UACGGAGGGUGCGGGCGUUGUCCUGAAUCAUUGGGCGUAAAGGGCGCGUAGGUGGCCUGCUAAGCGUGCGGUGAAAGCUCGGGGCUCAACCCCGAGUCGGCCGUGCGAACUGGUGGGCUUGAGCACUGUAGAGGCAGGCGGAAUUCCGGGUGUAGCGGUGGAAUGCGUAGAGAUCCGGAAGAACAUCCGUGGCGAAAGCGCUCUGCUGGACUGCAACUGACAUUGAGGGACGAAAGCUAGGGGAGCGAAUGGG
rnacentral:rRNA from 1 species